rnacentral:tRNA from 1 species
GGAUAGUUCAGUUGGUUAGAGUGUGGUGCUGAUAACUCCCAAGGUUGCAGGUUCGAUCCCCAUAGGGGACA